ACGGAAGGCAGCAGUGGGGAAUAUUGCACAAUGGGGGAAACCCUGAUGCAGCGACGCCGCGUGAGUGAAGAAGUUAUUCGUAAUGUAAAGCUCUAUCAGCAGGGAAGAAAAUGACGGUACCUGACUAAGAAGCCCCGGCUAACUACGUGCCAGCAGCCGCGGUAAUACGUAGGGGGCAAGCGUUAUCCGGAUUUACUGGGUGUAAAGGGAGUGUAGGUGGCCUGGCAAGCCAGAUGUGAAAGCCCGCGGCUCAACCGCGGGACUGCAUUCGGAACUGUUAGGCUUGAGUGCAGGAGAGGAAAGUGGAAUUCCUAGUGUAGCGGUGAAAUGCGUAGAUAUUAGGAGGAACACCAAUGGCGAAGGCGGCUUUCUGGACUGUAACUGACACUGAGGCUCGAAAGCGUGGGGAGCAAACAGGAUUAGAUACCCUGGUA
rnacentral:rRNA from 1 species